rnacentral:rRNA from 1 species
UACGGGGGGAGCAAGCGUUGUUCGGAUUUACUGGGCGUAAAGGGCGCGUAGGCGGUCGUGACAAGUCACUUGUGAAAUCUCCGGCUUAACUCGGAACGGUCAAGUGAUACUGUCGGACUAGAGUACAGAAGGGGGCAACUGGAAUUCUCGGUGUAGCGGUGAAAUGCGUAGAUAUCGAGAGGAACACCUGCGGCGAAGGCGGGUUGCUGGGCUGAUACUGACGCUGAGGCGCGAAAGCCAGGGGAGCGAACGGG